rnacentral:rRNA from 1 species
ACGGGAGGCAGCAGUGGGGAAUAUUGCGCAAUGGGGGGAACCCUGACGCAGCAAUACCGCGUGAGUGAAGAAGGUUUUCGGAUCGUAAAACUCUUUUAUUGGGGAAGAAGGAUGACGGUACCCAAUGAAGAAGUCCCGGCUAACUACGUGCCAGCAGCCGCGGUAAUACGUAGGGGACAAGCGUUGUCCGGAAUGACUGGGCGUAAAGGGCACGUAGGCGGUUUUUUAAGUCUGAUGUGAAAGGUACCGGCUCAACCGGUGACAUGCAUUGGAAACUGGAAGACUUGAGUACUGGAGAGGCAAGCGGAAUUCCUGGUGUAGCGGUGAAAUGCGUAGAUAUCAGGAGGAACACCGGUGGCGAAGGCGGCUUGCUGGACAGUAACUGACGUUGAGGCACGAAAGCGUGGGGAGCAAACAGGAUUAGAUACCCUGGUA